CACGUAGGGACCAAGCGUUGUCCGGAUUCAUUGGGCGUAAAGGGCUCGUAGGCGGCCAACUAAGUCGGACGUGAAAUCCCUCAGCUUAACUGGGGAACUGCGUCCGAUACUGGAUGGCUUGGAUUCGGGAGAGGGAUGCGGAAUUCCAGGUGUAGCGGUGAAAUGCGUAGAUAUCUGGAGGAACACCGGUGGCGAAGGCGGCAUCCUGGACCGAUAUUGACGCCGAGGAGCAAAAGCCAGGGGAGCAAACGGG
rnacentral:rRNA from 1 species